rnacentral:rRNA from 1 species
GACGAACGCUGGCGGCGUGCCUAAUACAUGCAAGUAGAACGCUGAAGCUUGGUGCUUGCACCGAGCGGAUGAGUUGCGCACGGGUGAGUAACGCGUAGGUAACCUGCCUGGUAGCGGGGGAUAACUAUUGGAAACGAUAGCUAAUACCGCAUAAGAGUAGAUGUUGCAUGACAUUUGCUUAAAAGGUGCAAUUGCAUCACUACCAGAUGGACCUGCGUUGUAUUAGCUAGUUGGUGAGGUAACGGCUCACCAAGGCAACGAUACAUAGCCGACCUGAGAGGGUGAUCGGCCACCCUGGGACUGAGACACGGCCCAGACUGCUACAGGAGGCAGCAGUAGGGAAUCUUCGGCAAUGGACGGAAGUCUGACCGAGCAACGACGCGUGCGUGCAGAAGGGUAUCGGAUCGUAAAGCUCUGUUGUAUGGGAAGAAAGAGUGUGAGAGUGGAAAGUUCACACUGUGACGGUAUCUUAACAGAAAGGGACGGCUAACUACGUG